rnacentral:rRNA from 1 species
AUUGAACGCUGGCGGCAGGCCUAACACAUGCAAGUCGAACGAGUGGCGGACGGGUGAGUAAUGUCUGGGAAACUGCCCGAUGGAGGGGGAUAACUACUGGAAACGGUAGCUAAUCCCGCAUACCAUCGGAUGUGCCCAGAUGGGAUUAGCUUGUAGGUGAGGUAACGGCUCACCUAGGCGACGAUCCCGAGCUGGUCUGAGAGGAUGACCAGCUACGAGGGAACGGAGACACGGUCCAGACUCCGACGGUGGGAAGCAGUGGGGAAUAUUGCACAAUGGGCGCAAGUCUGAUGCAGUCAGGCCGCGUGGAUGAAGAAGGCUUUCAUGUUGUAAAGUAAUUGCCGCGGGGAUGCUGUACCCGCAGAAGAAGCACCGGCGAACUCCGGGCCAGCAGCCGCGGUAAUUC